rnacentral:rRNA from 1 species
UAGGGAAUCUUCGGCAAUGGGGGCAACCCUGACCGAGCAACGCCGCGUGAGUGAAGAAGGUUUUCGGAUCGUAAAGCUCUGUUGUAAGAGAAGAACGUGUGUGAGAGUGGAAAGUUCACACAGUGACGGUAACUUACCAGAAAGGGACGGCUAACUACGUGCCAGCAGCCGCGGUAAUACGUAGGUCCCGAGCGUUGUCCGGCUUUAUUGGGCGUAAAGCGAGCGCAGGCGGUUUAAUAAGUCUGAAGUUAAAGGCAGUGGCUUAACCAUUGUUCGCUUUGGAAACUGUUAAUCUUGAGUGCAGAUGGGGAGAGUGAGAUUCCAUGUGUAGAAGUGAAAUCCGGAGAUAUAUGCAGGAACUCCGGUGGCGAAAGAGGCUCUCUCGUCUGUAACUGACACUGAGACUCAAAAGCAUGAGGAGCAAACAGG